UGGGGAAUAUUGCACAAUGGGGGAAACCCUGAUGCAGCGACGCCGCGUGAGCGAAGAAGGCCUUCGGGUCGUAAAGCUCUUUUAUGAGGGAAGAUAAUGACGGUACCUCAAGAAAAAGCCCCGGCUAACUACGUGCCAGCAGCCGCGGUAAUACGUAGGGGGCUAGCGUUGUCCGGAAUCACUGGGCGUAAAGGGUUCGCAGGCGGAAUAACAAGUCAGAUGUGAAAGGCAUGGGCUCAACCCAUGUAAGCAUUUGAAACUGUAAUUCUUGAGAAGUGGAGAGGUAAGUGGAAUUCCUAGUGUAGCGGUGAAAUGCGUAGAUAUUGGGAGGAACACCAGUAGCGAAGGCGGCUUUCUGGACUGCAACUGACACUGAGGCACGAAAGCGUGGGUAGCAAACAGG
rnacentral:rRNA from 1 species